UAGGCAGAUGCUCGUUGGUCUUGGGCGCUUAGCUGUUAACUAAGAGUUUGCAGGAUCGAAGCCUGCCUGCCUAG
rnacentral:tRNA from 1 species